AAAUUAACGAUAACUAUAUAAUAUAUAGUUAUAAAAAGUGCAAGUCCAUUGACACGUUUGUUUGGCAGGUAGGAGACCAUUUUGAGUAAUUUCCCAAUGUUAUUUAACUACAUAAAUUAUUUAUUUAUAUGGAAAUUCAAGGUGGGAAAAGACGCUACGUGGCCGAUUUUCCUUCAAACAAUCUGUUAGCUUGCCGAUUUAAUAUAAUCUUAACAAUUAGCACUAAUUACCGGUGGAGUUUUAUUUCACAUUGUGCCCCUCAAUUAUAUGUUUGGUGUCAUUUUCACCCCAAUCCAAGAAAAUACAUAUACUAUAUAGUAUAUACUCUAUAUUUUUUGUAACUAUGACCUUUUUCCAUACACUACUUGAUAAAAAACGUUGGAGUUAAAAUACUGAAACUGUAAAUUAAAAGUUCAAACUAGGGAUGAAGAUUCGAGAUCAUUCAAGUUUUAUCGAUUUUAAUUCGAAAAUCUCCAACUCUCGAACAAUUUUUUUAUUUCAAUUUCUAGAAUUGUGAUUUUUCUGUUUUUUAUUAUGUCGGGAUUUGAAUAUGUGAUUUAUAGUUUGCCAAUUUAUUGUUUGUGUUUUCUUUCACAUGUGAAAAUUCUUCAAUUAGAGGACCAAAGUGUAAGAACUGAAAAAGGAAGGGGACAAAGUAUAUAUUUUUCAUAACUUGAAGGAGCAAAUUGAAAUAUACCCCUAAAAUGUAACAUACCUCACAAUUCACAUGUAGAAAACCUUAUCCUGUACGUAUCUUCCCCCUCUGCCGGUGAUAUUUUUUCUUCGUCUCCCCGUCUACAUCAAAGUUCCAUGUCUGUGUUAGGUUAGGUGUACAAUUCUCUCUCUUCCUCCAUUGAGAAGCACACAUAAUCACGCAUUUAAACACUCUCUAGUUUCUCUCUCUUCGCAAUAGAUUUUAUCUCACUUCAGCUGCGUCUUCAUCGCGCAGACGUGUGGCGACAGCGUGCUAGGGUUUGCGAUUGCUUCGUUCCCGUGUUUCUCGGAAGAACAGUUGAUGGACGAUCUGAGCUGCUUUUUUCAGCUUGUACAUUUGGAUCGGCUCAUAUUUCCGAUUAAAGAGGAAUACAUUAUUCAGAUACGCACCGCCGGAGUAUGUUACUGCUAGAAGAGGAUCUUUCUCUGAUAAUGCAAUUAGAGCAACUGUCAUUGUGCGUUGGAUGGCCUAAAAGUGAUUUUUCAUCUACAUGACCCUUAGAUGUUUCAGCCAUAGCUAUUGCCCCGAUUUCAGAUUCUAAUGCAAACUAUUCUUGGAAGUUGAAUGACCAGCUGAAUAACACAGUCAAGUAACAGUAUCAUGGCAGUAGAAUAUAUCAUGUAAUACGUUUGCCAUGGAAGCUGACAAGUUCCUGGUGGUGUCUCAUGAUUCUCUUGCUGUGGCUGGCAAAGCUGGAGACAGAAAGGUUCCCCUGCAACAAAAUCAGGAAAAUUAGCUACUUGAGGGAUCUGUCGUAAAAGUGUAAAGCAGGAUUCGUAAUGCAUACGGAUAUAAACACACUAUCAGGCAAUGAGUUUCGGACGAUGAUUUGUUGAAGAUGGAAUAUAUUACGUCAUUUUCAGUUCAAACUUGGCAGACAAUAACUAGUGAUCAAUGUUCUUCAUACUCGUCUGAAAGCUAAAAAAUGCUGCUUCCUUGUGAUGAAAAAAUUCAUCAUAGGAUAUGUGAGCAUAAUGAGAUAAAGUAAUUACUGAACUUGGUAAUGAAGAUUACCUUGACUUCGGAAAUCGGAUUUGCCAAUGGGUGAGGUUCCUCUUUUACUUUGUUGUAUCGUUCGAUGACUGACCUCAUACUGUGAGAAAAAAUACAGCAAAAAUGUCAGUUUAUUGGUGGUUGGUUCUGCAUCUCAGAAUGUGAUGAAUUGCUUAGGUAGCUCGUGUAAUAUAAUAUUUAUCUGCGUCUAUCGCACUUAGCCAGUUCAGCACCCAACCCGAUUCAUUGACUAAACCGACUGACACAGUUGACUCAUCCAUCUGAAAUCCAACAUCCAAUAUUGGAGCUGGGGAAAUAGCUUGAAAAGUACGUCUUAGCAUAUUGUUUGAUGGACAACACACGCACUAAGAUAGACAAAAAGAAUACAUCAUAGGGAAAGAUGCUACUGGAAGUCGUUUUUGAGCACGUAUGAACUUCACUCGAACUCGUGGAAGAAUAUUAUUAGUUAUUUUUGUUAUGGUUUUGAAAACAAAUCAUUGAAUUUAGUUUAAAAGACAUCCUUUUAUAGGAUAAUGCACACCCAAUAAAGAAGACUUUAAUUCAAUUACAUGUGAUGUGAUAAUAACUCUCCUGAUUCAAAUUUGUAUUUCUCAAUUCUGUUACAGCA